UCUUCACUGCCUUCAUUUAUCUCAACUUCAGAAAAGUACAGGCUCCUCUACUGGUCAACAUCCCUCAUAGGAAAGGCAUAUCAAAUCCCUAUUGUUAUGUGUGUUCACUGUCUGUUCUGGUGCUGGGUCUGCUUCUCAGGAGAACCAUCCCUAGUGUGCAGGUAAUGUAACCCAUGUGCAGCUUGUACACCUAAAGAGGAGUUGGUAGGUUGAGAACAAAUAAUUAUUCUGCCACAUCUCUCACCACCUGUGACCUUCUCUGGAGAUUUCUAGGAUCCUCAGUUUGGCCAGCCCAACCUCCACGUGCAUGUCCGCUGGCAUGGCAACUUCUAAAUUCCUCCAUUUCUGGGAGCACUUUGACUAUG